rnacentral:rRNA from 1 species
AUGCAGAGUGAGAUAGAGGUGGAUAAGAAGUUCAAAAUGUCUAAAAAGCAUGGUUGUUCUGCCUCUAAUUUAUCUUCAGAAGAUCAAAUCAAAGAGUUUAUGAGCACAAACUAUUCUUGCUACUUAAGUCCUCCGUCCAAUAAUAUAGGAUCGUUUUGCAAGAUAAACACUGAGGGAGUAUAUGGCAACUCCAUUAAGGAAUUUUUUGGUGAAUACUCCCUUGAGAAAUUAAUCAAGAUCAUCACUCAAUUUUGCUUUUCUGAUUACCACUUCAAAAUGGCAACGAAAACAGACAAACAAAUGAAUCAUUGUUAUGUUCUUGAGCUUGGUUAG